rnacentral:tRNA from 1 species
GCCGUGAUAGUAUAGUGGUCAGUACAUUGCGUUGUGGCCGCAAUAACCCAGGUUCAAAUCCUGGUCACGGCA